ensembl:rRNA 5S_rRNA 5S ribosomal RNA
ACUCACAGCCAUACCACCUUGAACAUGCCUGGUCUCAUGGCAGGUCCUGGUUAGUACUUAGAUGGGAGACUGCCUGGAAAUACUAUGUCCUGUAAGUU